GCUUCGUUAGCUCAGUCGGUAGAGCAUGAGACUUUUAAUCUCAGGGUCACGGGUUCGAGCCCCGUACGAAGCU